rnacentral:rRNA from 1 species
UACGAAGGGGGCUAGCGUUGUUCGGAAUUACUGGGCGUAAAGCGCACGUAGGCGGCGCGUCAAGUCAGGGGUGAAAGGCCUGGGCUCAACCCGGGAACUGCCUUUGAGACUGGCGUGCUGGAGUCCGGAAGAGGGUGGCGGAAUUCCCAGUGUAGAGGUGAACUUCGUAGAUAUUGGGAAGAACACCGGUUGCGAAGGCGGCCACCUGGUCCGGUACUGACGCUGAGGUGCGAAAGCGUGGGGAGCAAACAGG